GAAGAUUUAUCAAAGGGAUCUGACAAGUGUAUUUUAUUUUAGAUCUGUAUUUGGUUUGUAUUUUUUUAAAUUGUUCUAAAAAUGGUGUAAGAAGUGUUGGUUCUACUGUGAAAUCGACAAUAAUUCCCAGAAAAGUCAGUUUCAGAAAAGACUGCCAAUGUUAAAGUGGUGGGAAAAAAAAAGAAGUGAAACAAAACAUUUCUGGCAUAAAAAAAAAAAAAGUAAAUCUGUUGCAUUGCUCAAAAAGUGAAGUACACUCAAACAUGAUGCAGUGAGGAGAGACUUCCAUCUGGCCAGUUCAGUAGAGUGUUGCAGGAUGGUUGUCAUUCCAUAAGAUUCUUUCAUCUCCUCACAUGAUCUAUGUAGCUCGCUCAGAGAGACCAUUAGGUUCUUGGUCACCUCUCUUACCAUGGCCAUUCUACACUCGUAGCUCAGUUUGGGUGUGUAUCCAGGUUGUUCCAGACUUCUUCCAUGUAAGAAUUAUAAAGGCCACUGUGCUCUUG